GGUUAAGCGACUAAGCGUACACGGUGGAUGCCCUGGCAGUCAGAGGCGAUGAAGGGCGUGCUAAUCUGCGAUAAGCGCCGGUAAGGUGAUAUGAACCGUUAUAACCGGCGAUACCCGAAUGGGGAAACCCAGUGUGAUUCGUCACACUAUCAUUAACUGAAUCCAUAGGUUAAUGAGGCGAACCGGGGGAACUGAAACAUCUAAGUACCCCGAGGAAAAGAAAUCAACCGAGAUUCCCCCAGUAGCGGCGAGCGAACGGGGAGGAGCCCAGAGCCUGAAUCAGCAUGUGUGUUAGUGGAAGCGUCUGGAAAGGCGCGCGAUACAGGGUGACAGCCCCGUACACAAAAGCGCAUGUGCUGUGAGCUCGAUGAGUAGGGCGGGACACGUGGUAUCCUGUCUGAAUAUGGGGGGACCAUCCUCCAAGGCUAAAUACUCCUGACUGACCGAUAGUGAACCAGUACCGUGAGGGAAAGGCGAAAAGAACCCCGGCGAGGGGAGUGAAAAAGAACCUGAAACCGUGUACGUACAAGCAGUGGGAGCACAGGUUUACCUGUGUGACUGCGUACCUUUUGUAUAAUGGGUCAGCGACUUAUAUUCUGUAGCAAGGUUAACCGUAUAGGGGAGCCGAAGGGAAACCGAGUCUUAACCGGGCGUUAAGUUGCAGGGUAUAGACCCGAAACCCGGUGAUCUAGCCAUGGGCAGGUUGAAGGUUGGGUAACACUAACUGGAGGACCGAACCGACUAAUGUUGAAAAAUUAGCGGAUGACCUGUGGCUGGGGGUGAAAGGCCAAUCAAACCGGGAGAUAGCUGGUUCUCCCCGAAAGCUAUUUAGGUAGCGCCUCGUGAAUUCAUCUCCGGGGGUAGAGCACUGUUUCGGCUAGGGGGCCAUCCCGGCUUACCAACCCGAUGCAAACUGCGAAUACCGGAGAAUGUUAUCACGGGAGACACACGGCGGGUGCUAACGUCCGUCGUGAAGAGGGAAACAACCCAGACCGCCAGCUAAGGUCCCAAAGUCAUGGUUAAGUGGGAAACGAUGUGGGAAGGCCCAGACAGCCAGGAUGUUGGCUUAGAAGCAGCCAUCAUUUAAAGAAAGCGUAAUAGCUCACUGGUCGAGUCGGCCUGCGCGGAAGAUGUAACGGGGCUAAACCAU
rnacentral:rRNA from 1 species